UGCCUCACAACAGCCUCCACAGGCACAGCUCC
rnacentral:piRNA from 1 species